rnacentral:rRNA from 1 species
AUUGAACGCUAGCGGGGUGCCUUACACAUGCAAGUCGAACGGAGUGGCGAACGGGCGAGUGAUGUAUCCGAACGUGCCCAGUAGCGGGGGAUAACUACGCGAAAGCGUAGCUAAUACCGCAUAAGACUGGCUCGGCCGAUAUCGGGUUAGCUAGCUGGUGGGGUAACGGCUAAACAAGGCGACGAUCCGUAGCUGGUUUGAGAGGACGACCAGCCACACUGGGACUGAGACACGGCCCAGACGCCUACGGGAGGCAGCAGUGGGGAAUUGUGGACAAUGGGGGAAACCCUGAUCCAGCCAUCCCGCGUGUGCGAUGAAGGCCUUCGGGUUGUAAAGCACUGUUGGCAGGAAAGCGGUACCUGCAGAGUAAGCACCGGCGAACUACGUGCCAGCAGCCGCGGUAAUAC